UCUGAGGGAAAAGGGGCAUGGGGGGGCAGCUGCCCUGAGGGUAUUACAGCCCUCAGGAGGCUAAACUGUGAUGUGCCACAGGAAGAGAAUAGGAGGGAGUGAGGUGUCCCAGUGCCAAAGACCCUUGCCGUGGCAAGAAACUGAUUAAUUGAGAUAUAUACCCAGACGAUCCUGGAAAGCAGUCCACACCCCAAGCCACAGAGGAAGGCAAAAAACCCCCAAAGGUCUCUGCCAAUCUGACCUGGGGGAAAAUUCUUCCCAAAUCCACAUAUAGCACUCAGUUAGAUUCUGAACAUGAUGUGAACAAGAACCAGCCAGCUGUAGCCAUCACUGAUGCUUCUGAGGAAGGAGAGAAACAAAAUGCAAAUACAGAAUAGGUUGUGGGGUUGGGCAAUCUCUUUCUGACCCCUGCAGGUGACCACCUGAAGCAUGAGAUGUGAGCAGAAAGGAUUUUGGGGAGCCUGGCAGCAGCUGUCCAUCCUGUCAUGAAGGGAGCAUGGGAAGGAUCACUGGGUGGCUGCUCACCUCACACCUGUUAUGAGAUGCAGUCAACAAAACAGGAUCUAUCUACUGUAGCUGAGAACUCUUCAGUGUAAGGAAGAGGCAGAAAAUGUUGUUUGAUUUUGGAUGGAUGCGUGACCCACUUAACAGCCUUUGUUUGGGGAGCACAAUUGAGAGAAGAGAUCUGAGGUUUUACCAGAGUAGCGCAUAUAGAGAAGAAGGUAGUAAGUGCCUUUCAGUUCGGUGCUAUGGUAGAAGAAUUUUUGGUUUGGUUUCUUUGCAUUUACUAUGUCAAAGUAUCAAAGUGAAAGGGAGGCUGUAACUGUAGGGAAGAAGAAAAUGUUGCACUAUUUGUGGAAAAUAUUGUGGAAGUGUCUAGAAAUUUGCCAAGAUUUAUUUGUAACUCCUUAGGAUGAUUUUGAGUGACCCAAGUUCCUGGGGAUGAGUGCAAAUGUCUCCUUAAAAUGUCGAGAAACAACAGCCACUGAUGGCUAUUAGCAACCUUGGAAUCCCAGUCUUUGAUCCAGACUCAGGGUAUGUCUACAGUGUUGUCAGAGGUGUGAUUGCAACUCAGGUAGGCAUACCUGUACUAGCUGUAACCUAGCUAGCACAACUCAAAAUAAUAGCAAAGCUGUAGCAUCAUGGGCCUCAGUGCAGGCUAGCAACAUAAUGUAAUCAAGAUCCCAGGUGGGCUUGUACUGCCCAUGCCACUGCAUCUUUACUAUUUUUAGCCAUGCCAGCUAGAUAGAAGGUGUAAUAUGUAGACUGCUAGACAGCAUUUUUACCACUGUCAUCUACCUCAGCAGUCUGGACAACUCAUUGGUAAAGACACAAAGCAGCUCCUCCACACAAGUGCUCCCUGUGUUGCUAGCAUAAGUGCUGGACCAAUGGUGGAGGAACUCCCUAAAAUGACCUGUUUAGAUAAGGCCAAGGAGUCUGAUUCUCUCUCUACUGUAUUUAAUCUGGUCCAGGCCUUGGUCUUGCUGUGUCCUCCCUUUCCCGCAAUGAAAAUUUGGACAUUUGGCGGAAUUCAGUGAAACACCCUUCUGUAUGUGGUAGAAUGUUACGCUGUUAUGACAGCAAUGCUGAUUUGUUCACCUACCUUGUCAGAGAGAGGAGAAAUGAAAGUAGUGAAGAGAUUUCAGUAGACUAUUUGUCAUGACAGUGUAAUCUGGCUAAGGAUUAGCCACACAAAUCAGAAUGAUCCAUUUGGAAGAAAGCCAAGCUUCAGUCCAAGUAGGCACUUUAUUUGUGGUUGGAAUGCUGACAUUGAUAUAAUGGAAUAUCACAUAUACAUUGGAAAUAUAUACAUACAUCCCCACUCCAGGUUGUUGGUUUUUAUUUUAUUUUGCAUAAAAGGCCUCCCUGCAUAGAGUGAGCAUCUUUCGGAAAUCAAAGGAAGGGACAGUUAUCACAACAACAUAGAGGGGCCAAUCCUGCAGUCUUUGUAAAGGCAAAAUACCAUUGCAGGAUCACCCCUGAAGGAUCCAGGGAAGGAAAUGGAACAUGAGUGGUUUACAGGGACAUAAAGGGGUAUUUUAAAGGCAGUCGGAGACAGUUGUUCUUAAAGGUAAGAUAAGCAAUUAUGGCUUUAAGAUGCAGCUCAGUAGGUAGAGAAAAAAGCUUCUAAUCACACAGUCAAUUGAAUAACAGAAACAGGCUUCCAUAAGGAGAUAGAGAGAAUCACCAAGUCACAGCAUAACAAUCAAUCACUGGAGUUCAUUUUUGGGGCAUUAGCAUCCCGCCACACAGUGUGCACGUGUAAAUGUACUAGACUGUCUUUCCAGUCUGAGUGAUACGGCAACAACAUUAAUAUUCUGAACAGCUCCUUAAUAAAAGAUAUGUCCCUUUGCUGCAGAAGGCAGGGCCCCGCCAAUGUUUAUCUACUUCACCAGGAUAAAUAAAGAAGCAUGUUCAUUAUAGUACAGUGUAGGUGUAGUUGCCAUCUUUAAAAAGGGGGAAGAGGCUACAUUACAAUUAUAUCAAGACUAUGAAGGCAGAAAGAGGGCUGCUUUCUGGUAUUCAGUCUGAAUUCCAUUAGGGUAUUUAACUAGGACUUCCUCCCCAUCCUGUUCCUUAAAUUCCAUAGUUUCUUAGACUACAACUGAGUCUGCAGAAUACAUCCCAAGCCAAAGCAAUGGUUUCUGCGGGAACUAUGCUUCCUCAUCAACUCUUGUAUGCCUGAAAAUACAAAUCUUUCCAUAGUGACUUAAAAUGAGCCAUCUUAUGAGAAAAAUAUCCUAAUAACAGAAAGGCCCUGAAAUCCCCUUUGCUGUUGGUCCUUCUGGGCACCUGCUAUUUUAGAACUUUAUUUCUACAGCAACCAAAAUGAUUCUAUUAGAAAGAUAAUUAGCAGUUGAGCUGGAGAAACAAGCAGCAGAAAUAGACCACCCACAGAGCCUGUCCUUGUGCAAAUAUCCCUAGCAGUAAAAACAAAACAAAAGACUGUGGAAGAGAUGAAAAAGAGCAAUAGAUGAGCAGAAUAAUCUUGCACAAAACAUUUUGCAAACAUUUUCCAUUAGAUGCCAGUAAAUCAAAUCUGUAGUUUUGUUUCUGUAACCACUCCUGCCCCCUUACGUAGGUGACCAUCUGUCCUUUUGAACAUCCCGUAUCUAGUGCUUACUGUCCCACAGCCCAUCUCCGGUAAGUAGCAUUUGAUCAGGUAAUAAUCAUGCAAAGGAUCAUGCACUAUAAGUCUAGGAUUUUGUGACAUGAAUAAAAAAUUGGGGAUGAAAUAGGGGAAAAGCUGGUUUUUAUUUCCUAGAAAUGCAGUUGGUCACCCUACCUUUAUGAUUAGUUUAAAAAAAGGGGCACUGUAAAUAUGUGAUGCGUAACAGGACAUACAAAGUUCGGACAGGGUUAUAUUUUAAAAUGGGAUGGGGAUUCUAAAGGAAUCACCAGGAGUUUAUGUAAGGGUAGAGUAAGAAAUCCUUUAAAGUAGUUUCUGUGGACAUUUUUGGUAUAUAUAGCCCCAUGGAAGGGAUUACUAGCUGUCAGGCACAGGUAGAUGAUGCCAGGUUUGGAGACUCCACAGCACACAGAUUAUUUAUGUAACAGGCUGUAGUUGUUUCAAAGAGGUGAAGUUUAGCCAAUGAGUCAUUGAUGGGGCAACUCCUGCUUACCAAGCUCAGGUGGGUUUUUUUUUCCUGUUCGAUAUAGGUUCUUAUACUGCGCCCUCAUCCCUGUAGCAUCUGAGCAUCUUCCAGUAGUGAGUUAAGUGACAGAACAAAUCACACAUAACAGAUAUUACUUAUUUCUCUCAUCCUCUCCGCGGGGAGAGAGCAGUGUGUGCAGUACAGUGUUUUGGUAGGGUUUGUUUUGGGGCUGUUUUGUUUUUUUGGUCAGCGAUCUGGCAAGUCUCAGUCAUAUUUUCUUAUAACACAGUGUUGAAGAAUAAUUUGUCCUAUCUACACUAGCAGAGCUUUUCCCUCACCAAUUCAAGGGGACUGGUUACCCCCUGCUAUUGUCAGCAACAGAUCAGCUUCCUAAUGUAGAUGCUGCUUCUGAGACCCAGUGGUCCAAAAGACAGUUCUAGGAAUAUGAAACUCCUAAGUUCCAAUCCAAAGUUCUGAUACCAACUCCCAGUGGAAGCUUUGGGCAAGGUCACAGCACAUCUCUGCCACAGUUUCCCCAAUGAUAAAGUAGGGAUAAUACCUGCCUAACAGGACUUUGGGAGGAUUAAUGCAUUUGACAAGUGCUUUGAACUUGUAAAGUUCUAAGUAUUAAAUGAAUAGCAACAUUGCAAAAGCAUGUGAGUCUUUUCCAUUGGAGUGUGGUUUAGAAGAGUAGCUAGAGCUGCCUCUGCAAACUCAACAACUUGGUCCUUUUUAUUUGCUUAUUUAAAACCAAAGCAAAAUGUCCAAAGUAACUGGUUUUCAUUAUAAACUACCAACCUUUCAAACGUGCAAAGCUGAUAAUCAGUUGGAGAGAAAAAAAACUUAACAAAAGGUUUUAUACAUAUAUAUUUUAAAAAUCCAUCACAAAUUUACAGCAGUAAUGAGAUCAUCUAUGCUGUGCUCCAGGCUCAUGUGACUUUAUGGCUAAGGGGCUAUACCAGUACCUAAGACCUCUGUUGAACGAAAGAAGCAAUGUUGACCAAUAACAAUACUGGAACUCGUGGGUACAACUAAUAAAAACAAAAAUGUACAAAACCAAAAAACCCUUUAAUAUUUCAGAUAUAAAACAAUUCUCAUAUCUUACAAAAAAUACUACAGGCUCAAAAGGUUACUAGAAAUAGGUAUAAAAAAAGUAAAAUAUAAUCUUUAGCACAAAUUAAAUGCUACAAAUUAACUGGCCAAAUUAACAUAUUUGGAAUAAAGAGUUCCUUUUUGUUUAAAAAAAUAAAGAGUCCAGAUAACCUCACAAUGCCUCUUUACACCUCUGUGUUCCUGCAUUAUUUGGAAGCUGUAAACCAUCCAAAUAGCCCCAUUUCAAUUUGUUUAAGCAGAUUAAAAAUAAUAAAUGAAGUCAUGAGGUUGACCACCUUUCCUAUCCCCAAGAGGGCCCCAUCUACAUUAGUGAAAAUAGAGUAAUUCACAAAUAGUGGGAGCAAGGGUGGAUGCUCUAGUGCAGCCUGAGGCCUGUCCUUUUUCCCCACCAUCCUGGCCAACCCUGCUCACUGGUAAAAAAAAACUGAGUCCUGUCUACUCUACUCUGUUGCUACCGGAGGUAGAGUUGCACCUGUGGUACAUUAUCAGUUUUGCCAACAUUGGACACAGUCAGAGAGAUGACCACUUAAAGGAAACUACAGUGAUUCUUAACAUGCCUGAUAACUUAAUUUGCAACACUGG